CGGAGGAUCCAAGCGUUAUCCGGAAUCAUGGGUUUAAAGGGUCCGUAGCGGGUUUAUAAGUCAGUGGUGAAAGCCCAUCGCUCAACGAUGGAACGGCCAUUGAUACUGUAGAUCUUGAAUUAUUAGGAAGUAACUAGAAUAUGUAGUGUAGCGGUGAAAUGCUUAGAGAUUACAUGGAAUACCAAUUGCGAAGGCAGGUUACUACUAAUGGAUUGACGCUGAUGGACGAAAGCGUGGGUAGCGAACAGGACUAGAUACCCUGGUAGUCCACGCCGUAAACGAUGGAUACUAGCUGUUCGGAGCAAUCUGAGUGGCUAAGCGAAAGUGAUAAGUAUCCCACCUGGGGAGUACGUUCGCAAGAAUG
rnacentral:rRNA from 1 species